UACCAUACAUCGAGGGACGUAGGCCGGAACCGCGGCCAUGAAUUUACGAAGCAUGUUGCACUUACGGUUUGCACGCUCGUUUCACGUCAUCCGCAUUCUCUGACGCUUCUAUUUUUACCUUAUUAUUAUUUUCUCUUUUCUCUCACGUUUCGUUUAGCAAUGAACAAUAGCGACAGCACGAUGCGUCAAAGAUGCAACAAGAAUUUCGAUAAGGGCAGCUAAGGAAACGAACGGCGAGUAUCUACCGCAAGGGCUGAACUUUCGAACGAUCUUAUCGAUUUCCAGUGGGAACACGGUCACGCACAGAUGCGCAAAAUGAAUCAAGAAGAAAGGGACGAAACGAUAAUGCACCGUCGUCCACGAUACUGCACCAUUGAUUUAGUAGUGGUUAUCCGAGCUCCCCUAGCACACCGACAAUGACUCAUAGUUGCUCGUCUGUGUCGUUAAACACGAUUCUUCGGCCGCGAAUGCAUCCACGCGAAGAGAUGCUCUUAGAAAUUUAAACGAUAGCCAUUCUGCGCGUCUACGCGCUGCUUUUAUCCGUUGCCCCGUUAUUCGAGCAACUGCGCGAACCAAUCGGUCGACGCUCGAAAACAUUCAACGUUGAUUCUGAUAAGAGCGCUAUCUUUGACAUCUGACGAGUUCGCUUUCAUUCGGAUCGUUGUCGAUUUGAAAAAAACCUAUAUAGCGCGUAUGCUUUCCCUCGUAUAGCGUAGCCAUUGAAGCAACGAAGGUAGCCGCAACGUUUAGACGUUAAAUAAAGAAAUUCCAAGAGAAAAAGGGAAAAGAAGAGAUCAACGAUAGGCUGUUAAAAAUCAAGUAACGAGAGGUUGCGACGUGAUUGUGUCCCGAGACAUCGAUACGUCGAAGAUGACAGAUGGAGAAUGAGGAGGAUGAAGAGGAAAAAAGAAGCAAUGUCUUUGUCGUGGGAAAAGACAGUGGGAUGACCCCACGUAUACGAGACAUUCUGCCUUGCGACGAGUAUGUGGGUCGAGAAAUGCCGUACGCGCUAAAUAUAUAUCGGGCGCGUACACGCACGCAACUUUUGCGUAUCAAGGCGUCCAAGAAGUCAGAAGAAAGAGGGUCAUCAGAGGCAACAAGAAAGGAUCGUUUCUUUCUUUCUUUCGAGCACGCGAGAGAAGAGAAAAACAAGAUCGUGCUCUAUGUCAGAUUUUUUCCUCUUUCUUGGCGUUCGCGCGAAAGAGAAAGGAGUUGAAGGAGGAGACGACCGAACGCUGGGUAAAGCGACUCUGCCGCGGAGAAAUCGAUUCGUCAAUCUGUCAUGGCCGGGACCUUUGCAUCCUUUGCCGGUAUGCGUGUUAUUUACGUGCCUUCCGAAAAUCACGUUCGAGUAACUUUCCAGCCACCACGUGCACCGCUUCCACGAAGCAAUCGAAGAGUUCGAAACAAAACGCUGGUCCGAAUGAAAACGUACCGAACGAAAUGUAUUCGCCCCCCAACCAUGGUUACGAGCUUUUAAUAAUAAGAGCAUCGCACGAGUUUCUUUACGGUUUCUCUUUCUCUGCUUUUCUCUUUCGCGUUGCACUCUGUCUAGCACGGUGGUCCUUUCCGAGAUAGAUAGCGCGAUUAUGUAGUGCGUGCGGCGUCAACGUUUAAUUAUACAACCCCCGACAGUUAAUUAGCAAGUUAAUGGAGGAAAAGAGGAGAAAGAGAAGGAAGAGAAGCGUGGAAUAGGACGAGAAGGUCAUAAUCAAGCAGAACGAGCAAAGAAAACAGUAUAGAAGCGAGCAGCGAUCGUUGGCUCUGAACCUAAAUGAGGGAGCCAAGGUUGAGCGCGAAACGAUGCCUCGAACGACCGACCGAACGAAACGAAAACUCGCGCAGCUACUUUUAACGUUCGACGGUCCUUUCUCGUUUGUUUACCCGAGAAUUUACCGACAGUUGGUAACUGACCUCGUGCAAAACACGAAUCACGUUGCUCCGCACAGGGAGACCACGCAAAAUUGAUACUGAUGAUGCAAUCUCGAGCAAACAGCCGACUACGACAGCGAGACGUGGAAACUCUGUAGGAAAAAAAUUUACGUUCUAUCCGACUGGAAACAUCUGCUUCGAUUUUUACUACUUUUCUUUCUUUUCGUCGCAUCUGCAUUGGAAAUUGAAACGAUAAAUUAAGCGAACGACGAUAGACAGGAACGUUCGUGCCACGGAUCGUUUAGCGAACGCAGGCUCGGUUCUCGGGAAAAUGGACGGCUAUAAGCAGAUUCGAAAAAGAAGAGUUAAGAGAGACGAAAUACAAGUAGCUCUCCUCUGCGAUAGCCUGCAACGAGGGUGAAGGUUUACGGCGGAAUUAUAAACAGCCGAAGGUCGGUAUUACUGGGAAAACAAAUUAUAGCGCUUUCACGCGCGAAAACGCACACUUGCAAGAUCGUUGUCCAAAUAUAAAUUGGUGCUUUUUUAUCGAACCGCCGAUAUCGAAUUCUAUCGAUCGCAAAAGUCUGGCAAAUACGAACAGAAAUCUCAAUUAGACGGACGAUGAAUAUAUUCCGCGAGAUCUACUAUUAGCCAAAUACUUCGUCGAAUACUCGAAUACCAAGUUUAGGACAAAUAUCGUUUCUGAUUCGAAAAAGAAACCGGAGUUAUUAAGAAAGCGGAUUAAUUGAUAAGGUUUCAUCCACCCAAUUCGUUUUAUCCAUUACGAGGCUUGGAAACUUGCAAGAAAUACUUCAAUAAAAACAUUUAUGAUACAACAAUCAUGGAAAUC